GACAGAGGGUGCAAACGUUGUUCGGAAUUACUGGGCGUAAAGCGCGUGUAGGCUGCUCGGAAAGUCGGAUGUGAAAGCCCUGGGCUCAACCUAGGAAGUGCAUUCGAAACUUCUGAGCUUGAGUAUCGGAGAGGAAGGCGGAAUUCUCGGUGUAGAGGUGAAAUUCGUAGAUAUCGAGAGGAACACCGGUGGCGAAGGCGGCCUUCUGGACGAUUACUGACGCUGAGACGCGAAAGCGUGGGGAGCAAACAGG
rnacentral:rRNA from 1 species